CAUUGUGCUUGCACAGAUGACGACCGGCGCACGGGUGCGUAACGCGUAUAGAACCUACCUUUUACAGAGGAAUAGCCUUUAGAAAUGAAGAUUAAUGCCUCAUAGUAUUGUAGACUGGCAUCAGUUUAUAAUUAAAGAUUUAUCGGUAAAAGAUGGCUAUGCGUCCUAUUAGUUAGUUGGUAAGGUAACGGCUUACCAAGACAGCGAUAGGUAGGGGUCCUGAGAGGGAGAUCCCCCACACUGGUACUGAGACACGGACCAGACUCCUACGGGAGGCAGCAGUGAGGAAUAUUGGACAAUGGAGGAGACUCUGAUCCAGCCAUGCCGCGUGUAGGAAGAAUGCCCUAUGGGUUGUAAACUACUUUUAUACAGGAAGAAACACUGGUAUGUAUACCAGCUUGACGGUACUGUAAGAAUAAGGACCGGCUAACUCCGUGCCAGCAGCCGCGGUAAUACGGAGGGUCCGAGCGUUAUCCGGAAUCAUUGGGUUUAAAGGGUCCGCAGGCGGUCGAUUAAGUCAGA
rnacentral:rRNA from 1 species